AUACGUAGGGUGCGAGCGUUUAUCCGGAAUUAUUGGGCGUAAAGAGCUCGUAGGCGGUUUGUCGCGUCUGUCGUGAAAGUCCGGGGCUUAACCCCGGAUCUGCGGUGGGUACGGGCAGACUAGAGUGCAGUAGGGGAGACUGGAAUUCCUGGUGUAGCGGUGGAAUGCGCAGAUAUCAGGAGGAACACCGAUGGCGAAGGCAGGUCUCUGGGCUGUAACUGACGCUGAGGAGCGAAAGCAUGGGGAGCGAACAGGAUUAGAUACCCUGGUAGUCCAUGCCGUAAACGUUGGGCACUAGGUGUGGGGACCAUUCCACGGUUUCCGCGCCGCAGCUAACGCAUUAAGUGCCCCGCCUGGGGAGUACGGCCGCAAGGCUAAAACUCAAAGGAAUUGACGGGGGCCCGCACAAGCGGCGGAGCAUGCGGAUUAAUUCGAUGCAACGCGAAGAACCUUACCAAGGCUUGACAUGUUCUCGAUCGCCGUAGAGAUACGGUUUCCCCUUUGGGGCGGGUUCACAGGUGGUGCAUGGUUGUCGUCAGCUCGUGUCGUGAGAUGUUGGGUUAAGUCCCGCAACGAGCGCAACCCUCGUUCCAUGUUGCCAGCACGUAAUGGUGGGGACUCAUGGGAGACUGCCGGGGUCAACUCGGAGGAAGGUGAGGACGACGUCAAAUCAUCAUGCCCCUUAUGUCUUGGGCUUCACGCAUGCUACAAUGGCCGGUACAAUGGGUUGCGAUACUGUGAGGUGGAGCUAAUCCCAAAAAGCCGGUCUCAGUUCGGAUUGGGGUCUGCAACUCGACCCCAUGAAGUCGGAGUCGCUAGUAAUCGCAGAUCAGCAACGCUGCGGUGAAUACGUUCCCGGGCCUUGUACACACCGCCCGUCAAGUCACGAAAGUCGGUAACACCCGAAGCCGGUGGCCUAACCCUU
rnacentral:rRNA from 1 species